CAGAAGCUAGACCUGCUUCCUACAGAAGCUAGAAUAAGCGGCAAGGAAUACAAGGAGAGAGUUGUUAACAAUCUCAAGAUUUUAAUUGUGCAUUACUCGGUGCACCAGUCACAUUCUAAAGCAGUGAAGAGAGCCAUCAGUGAACAUUGUGGUGUAUGGACAAUCUCAAUGCUUAGUUACUUUUACUGUUUCCAGUGCAUUGGUAUAAGUUUGCUGAUCUGCUAUACUAAUCUGCUAUUCUUUUGGUGCUGUUGUGAUGUUGCUG